GGCGAGGCAGAGGCGGCGGCGCGCUCCGCGGCGCCUCCGGGUCCUAGAACCGUAGGCUCCCGCUCACUCGGAGCCGGGGGACUGGAAGGGUCUGGGCGAAGGGGGUCACGGCCUGGGGGACGCAGCGGGCAGUCCUCGGAGUCCAGGACUGCCAGCACCUGCUGAGCGCGGCUUGAAGACCCCUGACGGUACGGCGUUGCGGCGCCAAGGGCUGCGUCCCGCUCUCGGGUUCCCGCCGGAGAGGGUGGGAACCCCCUUCCAAGCCCCCCACCCCUUGUUUCUCUCCUCCUCUGUUUAGCCCAGAACCGAGCUGAGGACGAGAGGGAACCAUCUGCAAAAAAAGAACCCCAAAGCAGGGCGGGUGGGGGGGGCAGAUCCAGACCAGCGGAGACCCCAGCAAGCUGGUUCACUGUGGACCAACUCUGCGCCUGUGCGGGCAUCCCCAGUGCUUCUAGAAUGGGGGCGCCCAAGGAAGAAGGCAGGCUGUGAGAAUCUGGGUACCACCAAGGCGGUCUCAAGGAGAAGCGCGGGGGCUGGGGAACGGGAGGAUUAAAGCCAGCAUCCACUCUGGGAAAGGAGCGGGCACCGAAGAAGGAGGGAAAAAAAAAAAUCUCCUUGACGCUGUCACCUCCAGGGACCUAAGGUGGCCUCUUGCUCACCUUGGAGAAUAACAAUCUCUGAUGUCUGGCAAUAACAGAAAUGCUUCCAGAGGUCUUCUUUCGUCCAUCCUGACAAUGACCAGGGAAGGUCACCAGCACCUCUGGUGGGCGAGAGAUGUGAUCACUUAUUCCGUGUCCCAACCAGGGACCCGUAAGAUUUCUCACCCACUCUGACAGCCUCCGAGCAAGGUCCCUGCUGGGCAACACUGAUGAAGUCCGUGCCGCGCUGGACCUGAUGGGGAUAAAAUGAUGGUUCUCUUCAAAAACUCUCGUUCAGGGAGUCCCCAUCGUGGCGCAGCGGAAACGAAUCCGACUAGGAACCAUGAGGUUGUGGGUUCGAUCCCUGGCCUCGCUCAGUGGGUUAAGGUCCAGCGUUGCCGUGAGCUGUGG